rnacentral:rRNA from 1 species
GACGGAGCGAUGCCGCGUGGAUGAAGAAUGCUGAGAUGUUGUAAAAUCCUUUUAUGAGUGAGGAAUAAUAGUACUAGGAAAUGAGUAUUAGAUGACGUUAGCUCAUGAAUAAGCUCCGGCCAAUUACGUGCCAGCAGCCGCGGUAACACGUAAGGAGCGAGCGU